rnacentral:rRNA from 1 species
AGCUCCAAUAGCGUAUAUUAAAGUUGUUGCAGUUAAAAAGCUCGUAGUUGGAUUUCUGCUGAGGACGAUCGGUCCGCCCUCUGGGUGAGUAUCUGGCUCGGCCUUGGCAUCUUCUUGGAGAACGUAGCUGUGCUUGACUGUAUGGUGCGGUAUUCAGGACUUUUACUUUGAGGAAAUUAGAGUGUUUCAAGCAGGCACAGGCCUUGAAUACAUUAGCAUGGAAUAAUAAGAUAGGACCUUAGUUCUAUUUUGUUGGUUUCUAGAGCUUAGGUAAUGAUUAAUAGGGAUAGUUGGGGGCAUUCGUAUUUAACUGUCAGAGGUGAAAUUCUUGGAUUUGUUAAAGAUGGACUACUGCGAAAGCAUUUGCCAAGGAUGUUUUCA